AUGAUCACGGACGUGCAGCUCGCCAUCUUUGCCAACAUGCUGGGCGUGUCGCUCUUCCUGCUUGUCGUUCUCUAUCACUACGUGGCCGUCAACAAUCCCAAGAAGCAGGAAUGAAAGUGGCGCUUUCUCCGCCCCAGGUAACGGUACGGGGCUGUAGCGCCCAGCCCCAGAGAGGUUCCAGGACAUAGUCUGAGGCAAGAUGGAGGGUGUGAGGGGCCUUCACACUUCACUUCAUCCCUUGUACCCAUCACAACAUACAAAGCAACUACACCUGGAUUUUUCCAAACAACUUUAAUUUCCUCAAAGUCUUCCUUAACCUUAUGGAACAAGAAGCUGCCACUGAAUAGGGCCCAGCAUAGGGCUACUUUAUUUUCUACUCCCUCCCCCCAGUAUAAAAAUAUAGAUUUUUUUUGUGGUCCCAAAAUCGUGUGCUGUGGAGGGAGGGAAGGGGUGGCAGGUCCCUGCUUUGUCCUGUCUCAAGGUGAUGCUCUGCUGUGUCUCAGAACAGUGUGGCUGGCGUUCCAAGGAGUUAUAAUUGUCACAUGGAAUCAGGAGCUGAGAAAGGGGACUAGCACAUUUCUCACUGUGUUCCCCAUCUCCGGUUCAUGUGCUGGGCGUGAAGGUCAAGGCCUCAGACCCGAGGAGAAACAGUGAGUGGAGGAGAUUUAGGGACAAAACAAACCUCAGUUUGGCCCAAGGGCCCCCCACUGUAACAAAUCCGGGACUGGGAGUCAGACAGACUACGGGAAAUAGGAGAAAAGGCAGGGGCAGAGCAGGGCCGUGGGGGCCCAGCCUGAGGCAGCCUGCAACAGAGAAGAGAGAGGAGUCAGGGUUGUGAAAACUCCGCCCUUCUUCUGGUCUUUCAGCCAGGGGCUGGGAGGUGAGAGAGGCAAGGUGGGUGAGGAUAGGCAGGUUGAGCACUGCACAGUGGUCUGACAGGAAUGGUCUGACCAGCCUGCUCCUUAGGCCUAACUAGAAGUUGUUCUCUUGUCUGUUGGAGUGAAGACGGACAGCAUGAUGGGGAAAAAAGUCAGGGACUAGGUUCUUAAUGAAGGUACAUUUAGUCUUUCGGGGGUCAAAGGGAGAAGGGAAGGAAGAAAAUGAUCUUGAAUGGCAGAAAUGGGAAUAAGGGGAUAGAAGUGAGAGGUGGGGUGAAGCGUUGCACCCUGGUGCUCACCGUGGUAUGGAGCAGGGUCCCGGCUCUGGCUCACUGCUCUCCCUGCUCCGGGGGGUAGGGGACGUGGGGCCCGAAGAGCCUCUCAUCCCUCUGCGAGUCGGCGGUGAGCCCCGGCCCAACCUGGGCCUAGCCUGUGUGGACAGGGGGUAGGCUAUGAGGCUGGAUUCUUCCAUGAACUUUUUGCUUCUAGGUUUCCUUCUAGUAUCCACACGUAUGAGUGUAGUAUGGGUGUCAACACGGGUACUGGGACCUUGAGUUCCUGGGCACUGUUCCUAGCUGAGAAGGUAGGGCAGGAUAAUAGCUAGAAAACUCUUGGGUUCAGUCUAUGACUAUACAUUCCAAGCUUAACUAGGGGAGUCAGAAGGGUCCAGCAUUUAACCUUCAUGGCUAUACCACGGUCAAGAUCUGGCUGAGUAGAGAAGCACGGUGUGGAAAGAUGUUGGAGGAUUAGUGGGUCUGCCUCAGAGCCUUCAUUGCCUCAGCCCCUGCCAGAGCAGCUUAAGCUUCACCUGUUCAGUCAGCUUCUGCCUACACCUAACUUCAGUCAACCUAGCAUGGGGAUCUGGAGUGAAUCGGAGUUGGUGGCACAGCUGUUCCUAGGAGCAGCAACCAGAUGUGUUACCUGGGGAAUCCGGGACCCCUCCUGGCGGGAACUCUCCUCGGGCAGGUCUGGGCAGAAAGAGAGGAGAAGCUAAGGCAGGGGCAGGCAAAGCCAAAGCUAGCAGGCUGAGGUUAGGGUAUGUCUGGCAGGGAUACUGGGAUUGGAAGCAAGCAAGAGACCUGGCUGAAGGGGACGGGGGUGCAGCACCGGACAGACAGGCACUCAGGCAUCAGAGCAGCUCUCUGCUGUGGUUGUGGGGAGAGGGUGUAAAGCAGUGCUGGGCAUUUUCCCUCCCACUACCCAGGUGAACAGCGCCUUGCUGGGCUCUGCAAGAGUCGCUAUGCUGGGGACUGGGGAAGACCCAAAAACGUUACCUGUAGUCGGGUCCUGAUACAGGGGAUCCGAGGUCCAGCCCCUAGCAGGCCUUUCCCAAUCACCAUGACAGCCUCUGGUUUGUCCCCUGAGGGUAGGAAUGAGCAGCUACUCCCUAGGGAACAAAAGAAACUGAUAUCAGGAUGGGGCCACGGAGAAGAGGUAACUUCCUUUAGAUCAGAGUUUCUCAGUAUUGGCAAUAUUGACAUUUUGGGCUGGAUAAUUCUUUGUUGUGGGCGGCUGCCUUGUGUAUUUCAGGAUGUUUAGCAGCAUCUCUGGCCUCUGCUCAGCAGAUGCCAUUUCUUCCCCUGCCUCCUCCCCACUGUAACAACCAAACAUCUCCAGAAAAAUGUCCGCUGCCUGGCAAAAUCGCCGCUGGUUCAGAAGCACGUCACACUCUAGUCUGGUCCGAGGGGUAGAACAGUAACUUGAGCUUGAAUCAGAACCCACUCAACUGAACUACUAUGAAUUUAUAGACCUUAGAGUUAUCCCAGUCAUAUGUGUGAGCAUUUAAGGAUCAAGUCAUCAGUACCCAAGACUGGUGGAUUCAGGGCUACCUGUCGAAGAGAGUUAACAGGUUGGGAGUAGUGGGCUCUGAGGGAGGUAGGAGAUGUUAGGCUGAAGUUUUAGAAAUCAUCCCCAUCCAGUGCUUUACACGGCUGGGUCUAUAACUUAAAAGGAGAGCAGACGGUCUAGGCUCUUUGUGGAUGAUACGGUCACACAACAUUUGCGGUGGUGACAGGUGAAAGGCCUAUGCUUUUUUCAUUCUUCAGUUUUGUCUAAGUUGCCCAGCUCCUGGAGUCAGGGAGCUUGAAUAAAUAGCAGGUAGGAAAAGUCCUCAGGUUCCUCAACUGUAAAAAUAAGGAUUAAAUGAGAUAAUGUGCUUAGAGCAGUGCCUGCCACAUAGUAAACGCUCAGUAAGUGGUAACUGUUAUUUUAUUACACAAAGAUGUUCACUAAACUCCAGCCUCCUGUACAAGGGCAUUGAUGUUAGGGAUUUAGGAUAAUCCAGGAGGAUAACUGGUGCCCCUGGUCUGGAGUGGCCUGUAUUACAUCAAGUCAGGAAUGAGGUCCAGGUCACAUGGCAGCAGAGCUGAAAGGAUUUCUUCAAGCCUAGUCAGGAGUCUGGCCUAUGCCCUGGGAGGUAGGGAAGGAAGGAGGUUGGCCAACCCAGAUUUCAGGGGCGGUGGGUACAGACCUGAUAUGCCGAGUGAGUUGGGCAGUAGGCAGGAGCCCAUGUGUAAAGAGGCUGUGUUAGAACUAACAGGAGUUUGGGACGGGGCCGGGCUGCUUGAAGUAGGGUGAUGGGUCAGUGGCUGCUGCCGCCGUCUCCUGUCCUGGCUUCGGGGCUCUGAGUGGAAGGGACACAAGCAGAUAAAAGGGCAAAUAAGUGAGGCAUUGUCACUCCCCUGCCCCGUUGGCCUUCCCUUGUCAGCAGAUGCCUGUUUUCAAGCUUGUCAUCACACCAGCAUCCCUCUUCUGAAGUAAGUCUAAGAUGGGUAGAAAGAACUAAUAAUUUAUUCCAGCUCUCCAGUUUUCAUCCAGCCCUCAUCCUACUUCACCUCUCUGGAGCUAACCAGCCUACUCACCCACCAGUUCAUUCUUCUGGCAAAGAAGUUAUUGAGCUUGGCUUUCCUAGGUUCUCCUCUUCCCCCCUAACCGCCCCUUUUCAACUACUUGUCCUGCCCCUAAAUGUCAGUGUCCCCCACCAUUUUAGCCUUGGUUCUCUCCUGCUCUAUGUACUCAAAACUCCCAAGUCUCCCUCUUGCCCUUUUUUUCCUGAACUGCAGUUCUGAUUGUCUACUGAUCGUUCCUACCUGGCAGUCUCUCAUGACCCAAACAAAACUCAUUUUCUCCCCUCCUUCCUUUUGUUCUCCCUAUCUUGGUGAAAAAUCUGCUAGAAACCUUGUUUCCUCUUUCGACUCCUCCCUCACAUUUAGAUUUGUGUUUAACCCAAAUCUGGACAAUUCUCCCUCUGCCUUCACUGGAAUUCCUCCUUUAUUCACCCUUGCCAUUGCCAGCAUCCAGAUACAGGUCUUUAUCUCUCAUCCAGGCUUUUGAAAAAAAUUCCCCACUGGCCUCCCCAGCUUGAGUCUCUUCCCUUUUACAAUCCAUCCUUCACACAGAUGCCAGAAAUUCUUCUUCUAAAAUACAGACCUGAUCAAGUCAUUUUGGCUCAGGCAAGGGAGAGAUACUGAAGGUCUUUUAAAGGAUAAAGUCUAAACUUUUUAACGUGGCAUUCAGAGCCCCGCCCACUGUGGGUCCAGUCUACACAUCCUUAGUAGGAUGCUGACUUGAUCCUUCACACCCUCUGCUAUAGCCUCUAGGGCUACUAGCUAUGUGGUUCCUCUGCAAAGUCUGUUUCCUCUUCUAGUGAAACUUUGGACAUCUUAUAUGUCCGAUCUCAAAUGUCACCUCUAUGAAUCCUCGCUGACCAUUAACAGUAGGAUUAAUUCUUCUCUUUCAUUGUCCUUUGUUCACUUGGCUAGUAAUUUUUUAUGGUUUCUGUCUCCUUAACUAAAUAUCAGUACAUGUAAAGUACUUAAUACUGCCUGGCACAUGGUAAGUGCUCAAUAAAUGUUAGCUAAUAUUCUAAUUGGAACUUGAGUCUCUUGAGGGUAGGGACCUUGUCUUUUCUAAUACUGUACAUCCCAGUGCCUGUAAAGUACUGCCUGGAAAACCAGAGACCUUAAUAAACAUGUUGUUUACCCGGAUAGCAGACACCCACUGUAGACCGUAAGCUGGCUCAACAAUCCCUGUCUAAGGGCAUAUGGUUAUACUCUGUGGGGCAGCUCUCUUGGUCCCUUCUUUGUAGCUAGAGCCUCACUGCUACGGAUUCUGAAAGGUGGGGUCCCAGUGGGGUAGAUGGUGAGGUAGGGAGAUUCUCAGGCUUGGCAGGUCCUUCCUUAUCACAGGGGGACAGCAGGUACCAAAUGCUCUCAAACGGAAUGAGCUGUUAACCUUUGUGGAGCUGAAUUCGAUGGUAGUUCCAGAUGCCAGUUGACUUCUAACAAAGCAACAUGUGUUACAUGUGAAAAGGCCCUAAAGGGUGACAGUAACUUUACCUUGUCUAGCUACACUAGCAGUGACAAGGCUACUUCUGGAAGGUCCCAAACCAAAUUUAAAAAAACUGAUACUCGUAUGAAUAAGGACGAGAAGAAAGGGAGAGAUCUCAGGAUGGAAGCUACUCUAGCUUUGAGGAGUUUGCCGAGAUGCUGGGUACCAAUUAGAGUCUAAGACCACAGACAGGAGUCAAAAACAACCAGACCUAGUGAGACUUGGCACAGCGAUGCCAACAAAACAACCGAAGUCAGACUCAUGGCCACAGUCACAUAACUCGAAACAUUACCCACCACCAAUGACUUAGAGACACUGUAGAGCCUAGACCUGGGUAAUUCUUUGAUUAAAACAGGGAUGUCAAGAUGAUGUCAAGUGAUUGAUAGUGCACAGUAGGCAGAAAUAAUGAACUUUAAUGACAGAGGGGGAAAUAGCAGGAAAUAGAUGAUCUGAGAAAUAUCUAUACACAGAAGGAUGUUGAAACCAUGUUAAGGGAUGAAGCCUCACCCCACCCCAAGGAAGGAUAAGAGAGCAGGCUAGAAAUUGAGUGGAGGCCUCUGGGACAUUUGUAGGUUCUAGUAAGGAACUGAGUGGCACUUAAGAAGAUACCAACCGAGGGAGGGAGACGCAAGAGGGAAGAGAUAUGGGAACAUGUAUAUGUAUAACUGAUUCACUUUAUUAGAAAGCAGAAACUAACACACCAUUGUAAAGCAAUUAUACCCCAAUAAAGAUGUUAAAAAAAAAAAAGAUACAAAGCAAAA